rnacentral:lncRNA from 12 species
UGAGGAUCAUCCUAGACUCUGCCUCCUGCCUCACCCUCACCUUCCUCUUUCUGCUUCUCCCUUUAUUUUGGCAUCUCUCCUUAUCUUACAGUAAUUUGUCACUUUUCCCUCCCAUCACCAAUUCCAACUAAACUGUAAUCUGCUUAAGGUCAGGAGCUGUACCUGAGCAUUCUUUUCAUCCUCCUAAGCACCUCACACAAAGUGCAAGGCUAUUGUCUAUGCUCAGGAAAUGUGGAUUGAGUGAGCUCAGUCACAGAAAGUAAUAAAUGGAUUUUUUUUUCAGAAAUGCACCCUCCAGAAAUCCACAGUGCCCACAUUUUGCCUUAUGAGCUCAUUUUAGAGUGAUUGGAUACAUUUUAUUGGCUAAUGUCUGCCAUGUGGUAAUGUCUUCAUUUGCUGAGUUGAUGUUCCAAAUCUUACAAUUCUUAGUCAUAAUUACUAGUUUUUCCCCUGAAUUUUGUGCUUCAUUGAGGCUUUAAAGGGUAAAAUUAACCUCCCAGCUUUUCCUCCAUAAAUUUAUAAUUUCAUUGUGAUUUCAUUGCUAUAUUGGCUUCCAUUUCAGAGGUUUGUCCAAAGUUUAGGUGAUUAUGUGUCUGUUGUUUUUUUCCUCUCACAAAUGCAGUUAUUUCCUUGCAAUCUAACUUGCUCAACUAUAGAGCAAUAGACACAGCAACAUGAUGAAGAAUUCUAAAUAUUAUUUGCUUAGAAAAAUUCUAUCUUAGCGGAAUGGAACUUUUUUAUCUUUUUAACCUGUGUUAAAAUUAUAUCAGAAUUUGUAAAACAAAGACUCAUUCCCCUAAUAUUUUUCCCUGCUUUGGCAUCUGUUUAUCUGGACGCCAGCUAGCUCAGUGGUUCCCAAAGAGUAUUUCACAGACCAGAAGCAUCAGCAUCACUCGGGAACUUACCCGAAAGGCAAGUUCUUGGGCCUACCAGAGACCUACUGAAUCACAAGCUCUUGGGAUGAAGCCCAAAUGGAGCUUGGUUGAACAAACUCUCCAGGUGAGUCUGAUGAAUGUGAAAGUCUGAGAACUACUGCGUCAUUUCCUUACCUUCAAUUCCUCAUUGUCAUGUGUGCCUCUGCUUUCUUCUGGUCCUUUCUCUCUAACAGAGCAAACUUCUUUUGGAAAAGAGUACCAGGAGAAAUUGUACUGCCAGUUUCAAGUGUGUGACUUUGGCAAGAGGGAGAGAGGUUGAAGAGGAAUGGCAGUAUGCUUGGCUUCACAGUAUGCUAUGGAAAGUCUACAGUGCAUGUAGCUACAGUAAGUGGGGGGGGGGAGGGAGAAUUGUUAAGGGGGAGAGAUGUCAAAGGAGAAAUUUAAGAAGUCUUACUCAAAGUUAGAACUGUACUUCCCCUGCCCCGGGCAUUUUUAGAGAAACACCAAUAAAAAAUUUAAUUUACUUUUUUGGUAGCCUGGG